GAUGAACGCUGGCGGCGUGCCUAAUACAUGCAAGUCGAGCGAACAGAUGAGGAGCUUGCUCCUCUGACGUUAGCGGCGGACGGGUGAGUAACACGUGGAUAACCUACCUAUAAGACUGGGAUAACGUCGGGAAACCGGAGCUAAUACCGGAUAAUAUAUUGAACCGCAUGGUUCAAUAGUGAAAGACGGUUUUGUUGUCACUUAUAGAUGGAUCCGCGCCGCAUUAGCUAGUUGGUAAGGUAACGGCUUACCAAGGCAACGAUGCGUAGCCGACCUGAGAGGGUGAUGCGCCACACUGGAACUGAGACACGGUCCAGACUCCUACGGGAGGCAGCAGUAGGGAAUCUUCCGCAAUGGGAGAAACCCUGACGGAGCCAAGCCGCGUGAGUGAUGAAGGUCUUCGGAUCGUAAAACUCUGUUAUUAGGGAAGAACAAAUGUGUAAGUAACUAUGCACGUCUUGACGGUACCUAAUCAGAAAGCCACGGCUAACUACGUG
rnacentral:rRNA from 1 species